UUUUUGUAAGCUUAGUGUGCCGUAUCGACGACUAAGAUUAAGAGCAGCUGAGGAUCGAGAUGCUUCCAUGUGUCACAUUAUUUUUGGUGGAGUUAAAAGACCGAAACUAUACACUACAUAAACAAAUCCGAAAUCCCGAAUGUACUUGUAUGAAAAUCCUUCUCUUUCCCUUUCUUUCUUUCAUCCAUUAAAAUCUCGAUGCCUUCUUUCUUCUCUUAACAAGGAGGGACGCAACUUCGAGAUGCCAUGUUAAAGAUGGUGGAACAUUUUUGGUUGCAUGUUGAUCCGAAGAUAAGAGAAUUUAUAGGAGACUGCGCGAAGACUUGUCAGGAUGUCCCUAUCAUUAUUUUGGUGUAAGCACGCUUACUUAAUUUUGUAGUUCGAUGAAUUCCGGUGUAUUGGUGCUCAUAUAAUUUAAAGUUUUUUUUCUUGCUUUUAUGCUAAACGUAUUGUAUUGUCUUUUCUUCUUUUAUUUUAACUUAUGGACCUUUUUUGGGAUUUUGAUUAGAAAAGGAAAAUUAAAUAGCGUGUCUUGUUCCAGCUCCUUUUCUCAUUCUUUUUGCUUCUACUUUUUCUUAGUAGUCUUACUUUCCUUCUGAUCAGGAACUGAGUAGCUAACAUCACCUGCAGUUUCAGUACGACUUAAUUAUUUUCAUUUCUCUUUUCUUGAUGAGUGGUGAAUGACUGGGGUUCAUUCACUCAGAUAUAUGUUGUGUUUUAGCUAGUUAAGUGAACUAGUUUUUUUGGGGAAAAAAUGGAAAGAGAAUACUAAGAAGUUGACACACAAAACUCAAGAUAAUUCAACAUGUUGUAUAAUCUCUCCCUUUACUUGGUACGUUUGACUUUUCAAGUCCCCUAAAAUAAAUAAAGUGCAUAAUUUAUUGUGAUACUCAUAUUAAUUGAUGCAUAGUAUAUUGGACUUGAGAAAAUAAUUUAAAAUGAGUAAUAAUAGUGUGGAUAUAACAUAAAUUUUUUUUGUCUUCUCUUGAUAUGUAUAAAACGACAAGUAAAAAUAAAAAUUUAUUUUCCAUGUACGUACCAAGUAAAAGUAAAGAGAUGGAGUAUAUAUAAAAGAUUCUUCAUUAUUUGUACUUUUCCUCAAUUAUUGAUCUUAUCUAUACAUCAUUUCUUCGAACUCAUUUCUUUUUUCAAACUUACACUUUUAUGUCUCUUCAUUUCUACUACGGAAAAGGGUCAAAUAUGCCCGUUAACUAUGCGAAUUAGGACAGAUAUCUCCAUUGUUAUUAGUUUGACCCAAAUACGUUCAAGUCGUCCAAUAGUUGUGCAUUCAUGCCCUUAUUAGACAGAAUCAAUAUUUUCUUUUUUUUAAUAUAACUAAUACCCGAACCCAACCUAAAUGUAAUGACCCGACCUGACCCACCCUAUUUCUAAAAGACUGAAAAUCUUAAUCCCCCUUAUUAUGUAUCGCCCACCCUUUUCCCGUUCCCUCAUCUUUUUGUCCUCUUCUUUCUAAUAUCUCAACUAGGGUUUUCCACCUUCGAGGGCUAUAGAUAGUAUAUUCUUAAGUAGGUUAGCUAUCUUAGCUAUCUUGUUUGAUCCACUCACUUUCCCGUCUUACUUUUUUCAUUUGCUUUUGAAAUGUCAGCUUGUUGAGUUCUUCAAAUAGUCAUGUGUGGAUGUGGAGUUGCUGCACUCCAUCUCACAUAGCGGACUAAAAUGAAUUCCGGAAGAUGCUUUUUGAUGUACGUUUUUUAGUUUUUCCUAAUUAAGGUUGUAAUAUGCAUUUUAUUAUUUCUGAUGUAAUGAUUGAUAAUGUGAUUGUAAUUUAGAUGCAUUGUAAUGGAAAUGCACUGGCAUCACACGACAUAUUCUUGACAGAUUUCAAAUGAUAUUUUCAUUUACCAAAUAGAACUCAGACAAAAGCAAAUGAAAAUGCACAUAUGUAUAAAAUGCACGAAAAAC
rnacentral:lncRNA from 1 species